UAGGGAAUCUUCGGCAAUGGACGGAAGUCUGACCGAGCAACGCCGCGUGAGUGAAGAAGGUUUUCGGAUCGUAAAGCUCUGUUGUAAGAGAAGAACGAGUGUGAGAGUGGAAAGUUCACACUGUGACGGUAUCUUACCAGAAAGGGACGGCUAACUACGUGCCAGCAGCCGCGGUAAUACGUAGGUCCCGAGCGUUGUCCGGAUUUAUUGGGCGUAAAGCGAGCGCAGGCGGUUAGAUAAGUCUGAAGUUAAAGGCUGUGGCUUAACCAUAGUACGCUUUGGAAACUGUUUAACUUGAGUGCAAGAGGGGAGAGUGGAAUUCCAUGUGUAGCGGCGAAAUGCGUAGAUAUAUGGAGGAACACCGGUGGCGAAAGCGGCUCUCUGGCUUGUAACUGACGCUGAGGCUCGAAAGCGUGGGGAGCAAACAGGAUUAGAUACCCUGGUAGUCCACGCCGUAAACGAUGAGUGCUAGGUGUUAGACCCUUUCCGGGGUUUAGUGCCGCAGCUAACGCAUUAAGCACUCCGCCUGGGGAGUACGACCGCAAGGUUG
rnacentral:rRNA from 1 species